GAUAUUUUAGGCUCCAGACGGCGUUUUAGGCCCGGGAUUAUAGUAUUAUUCUAUUUCAAGUGUAGUAGUUUUUGUUGGAUUUGAGGUGAUGAGGUAAAUCCUGAAAAGAGCCUAAACCAUGGCAACAGCUCUGCUCUCAUCUCCUCCUCUAUUGCCCCCUUCAUCCAAUCUUUCUAUCCUCUCAAAAAAGCAGAGCAAGAUUCUGUGGAAGCAAAAGAAAUGUGGCAAAUUCAUGGCAUCUUCACACUUGUGCAAAGAACCCACUUCCUACUGUGGGGUUUCCAGAAGGGACUUAACCUUCAUUGCUCUUUCUUCUUCACUCUCUCUUAUUUUCCCAUUUUCAGGUCGUAGUGCUGAAGAAGAAUUGAAAAUGGCUUCAUCUGUCGAUGACAUAAAUGCCUAUUCAUACUUGUAUCCUAUUGAAAUGCCAUCUAAGAAGUUUGUAUUCAAAUGGGUGGAAACCAGAAAACCGGAGCGUUAUUCAUCGGCUGCGCCACUAUCACCUGAUGCACGCCUUCGCAUUGUGUCUGAACGAGUUGACAUCAUUGAUAAUCUCAUCAUUUCUGUUUCGAUAGGUCCUCCCAACUCACAGUUCUUAAAGUCAAAGGAGAAAAGUACAUGGCGUGCAAAAGACGUUGCUGAUUCUGUUUUGUCUGAUAAAUCUGCUUUGCGUGUAACCUCUACUCAGCGAUUGGCUGAAAGUUCACUUCUUGAUGCUCAUGCUUCUGAAAUUGAUGGUGAACCUUAUUGGUACUAUGAAUACGUUGUUCGGAAAUCACCAACCAGAGUAGCUCAAGAACCGAAUCUUUUCCGCCACUAUGUUGCUUCAACAGCUGAACGAGACGGUUAUUUGUAUACUUUUAGUGCUUCCACUCUUGGCAAGCAAUGGGAAAAAAUGGGGCUCGCAUUAGAAAAGACGGUGGCAUCUUUCCGACUUCUUCCUCCCACAGAAAACUAUGUUCCUCCAUACAAGGAUCCAUGGAGGUUUUGGUGAUUGCAUUUCAAGGUGUGGCUAGGAUUAAUAUUGUCUCCUGGUAGCAAAGGAUUUUUCAAAAGGUGAACAGAACUCCUGCAAUGUUAGCAAAACAAGUUGUACAAGAUGUGCAUGUGAGAGGAAAAUCAAGGCCAAGACUAUACAAUGUGCUACGGACUCUAAACUUCUAUCCUAUGUAAUGCAAUUUGGAUACUGGUGCAGGCUUGAAUUUUCUGCAGAAUGCAGCGGCAGUUUGGAUGGGAAGAUUUAUUUGAUGAAGAGUUUGAAUCACUGCUGUAAUAUAGAGAUGAUAUUGGAUGACUUAUUUUGUAUUUUUCUGAUUGUUCUGUUAUCAUAUGUUUCUCUGAAUGAAAAAUAUAUUUUGAAAAAAUGAUCUGCUUGUGUGUUUGAA